AGACAAGUUCCGUUAGGCGAACACGACAAGGCAAGCGGGCAAUCAAGCGAGCAAACGAACAAUCCAAGUGAACAAGCGAGCUAGCAUAUUUCGACAAACGAUCCAAUUACUAACCAAAUGCACAACGUCACUUGAGUGGUCAUUAACCCAAGCAUUCGAGCAAUCAUCGUGGUGGUGGUGGUUAACAAACUCCAUUCUCAAAUCACUUAUGUGGGUCUCGAACAUGUCAAUUGCCCGUGUGGGCCUAAAAAAAACGUCUUUUGUUUUUCCUCUCUAUUUUCUUUUUUCUUUUUUCUCUUU
rnacentral:lncRNA from 1 species